rnacentral:rRNA from 1 species
GCCUGAUCAGCGACGCCGCGUGGAUGAGAAGGCCUUAGGGUUGUAAAGCCCUUUCACCGGGGAAAAUGAUGAUGUUACCCGGAGAAGAAGCACCGGCUAACUCCGUGCCAGCAGCCGCGGUAAUA